GCAGACUCACUCUGCACCCUGCUGCAUCACCAAGCAUGGGUGCUUUUUCUGUCUGCCACAGAAACAUGCCAGGGACUGGUACUGCUUUGACCUAUCAAAGUGGCGAAGCUGCCAUGGGGACACGGGG
rnacentral:snoRNA from 10 species